rnacentral:rRNA from 1 species
GUAGGUGGCAAGCGUUGUCCGGAAUUAUUGGGCGUAAAGCGCGCGCAGGCGGUCCCUUAAGUCUGAUGUGAAAGCCCACGGGCUCAACCGUGGAGGGUCAUUGGAAACUGGAGGACUUGAGUACAGAAGAGGAAAGCGGAAUUCCAAGUGUAGCGGUGAAAUGCGUAGAGAUUUGGAGGAACACCAGUGGCGAAGGCGGCUUUCUGGUCUGUAACUGACGCUGAGGCGCGAAAGCGUGGGGAGCAAACAGGAUUAGAUACCCUGGUAGUCCACGCCGUAAACGAUGAGUGCUAAGUGUUAGGGGGUUUCCGCCCCUUAGUGCUGCAGCUAACGCAUUAAGCACUCCGCCUGGGGAGUACGGCCGCAAAGGCUG